GCGAUUUUAGUUUAGAAUAAGAAUAUUGGUUUGUCUAACCGACGGUGAUUUUGGUAUCAAAUCGCU
rnacentral:tRNA from 1 species